CCGGUGAUCUAGCCAUGGGCAGGUUGAAGGUUGGGUAACACUAACUGGAGGACCGAACCGACUAAUGUUGAAAAAUUAGCGGAUGACUUGUGGCUGGGGGUGAAAGGCCAAUCAAACCGGGAGAUAGCUGGUUCUCCCCGAAAGCUAUUUAGGUAGCGCCUCGUGAAUUCAUCUCCGGGGGUAGAGCACUGUUUCGGCAAGGGGGUCAUCCCGACUUACCAACCCGAUGCAAACUGCGAAUACCGGAGAAUGUUAUCACGGGAGACACACGGCGGGUGCUAACGUCCGUCGUGAAGAGGGAAACAACCCAGACCGCCAGCUAAGGUCCCAAAGUCAUGGUUAAGUGGGAAACGAUGUGGGAAGGCCCAGACAGCCAGGAUGUUGGCUUAGAAGCAGCCAUCAUUUAAAGAAAGCGUAAUAGCUCACUGGUCGAGUCGGCCUGCGCGGAAGAUGUAACGGGGCUAAACCAUGCACCGAAGCUGCGGCAGCGACGCUGAUGCGUUGUUGGGUAGGGGAGCGUUCUGUAAGCCUGUGAAGGUGUGCUGUGAGGCAUGCUGGAGGUAUCAGAAGUGCGAAUGCUGACAUAAGUAACGAUAAAGCGGGUGAAAAGCCCGCUCGCCGGAAGACCAAGGGUUCCUGUCCAACGUUAAUCGGGGCAGGGUGAGUCGACCCCUAAGGCGAGGCCGAAAGGCGUAGUCGAUGGGAAACAGGUUAAUAUUCCUGUACUUGGUGUUACUGCGAAGGGGGGACGGAGAAGGCUAUGUUGGCCGGGCGACGGUUGUCCCGGUUUAAGCGUGUAGGCUGGUUUUCCAGGCAAAUCCGGAAAACUAAGGCUGAGGCGUGAUGACGAGGCACUACGGUGCUGAAGCAACAAAUGCCCUGCUUCCAGGAAAAGCCUCUAAGCAUCAGGUAACAUCAAAUCGUACCCCAAACCGACACAGGUGGUCAGGUAGAGAAUACCAAGGCGCUUGAGAGAACUCGGGUGAAGGAACUAGGCAAAAUGGUGCCGUAACUUCGGGAGAAGGCACGCUGAUAUGUAGGUGAAGUCCCUCGCGGAUGGAGCUGAAAUCAGUCGAAGAUACCAGCUGGCUGCAACUGUUUAUUAAAAACACAGCACUGUGCAAACACGAAAGUGGACGUAUACGGUGUGACGCCUGCCCGGUGCCGGAAGGUUAAUUGAUGGGGUCAGCGCAAGCGAAGCUCUUGAUCGAAGCCCCGGUAAACGGCGGCCGUAACUAUAACGGUCCUAAGGUAGCGAAAUUCCUUGUCGGGUAAGUUCCGACCUGCACGAAUGGCGUAAUGAUGGCCAGGCUGUCUCCACCCGAGACUCAGUGAAAUUGAACUCGCUGUGAAGAUGCAGUGUACCCGCGGCAAGACGGAAAGACCCCGUGAACCUUUACUAUAGCUUGACACUGAACAUUGAGCCUUGAUGUGUAGGAUAGGUGGGAGGCUUUGAAGUGUGGACGCCAGUCUGCAUGGAGCCGACCUUGAAAUACCACCCUUUAAUGUUUGAUGUUCUAACGUUGACCCGUAAUCCGGGUUGCGGACAGUGUCUGGUGGGUAGUUUGACUGGGGCGGUCUCCUCCUAAAGAGUAACGGAGGAGCACGAAGGUUGGCUAAUCCUGGUCGGACAUCAGGAGGUUAGUGCAAUGGCAUAAGCCAGCUUGACUGCGAGCGUGACGGCGCGAGCAGGUGCGAAAGCAGGUCAUAGUGAUCCGGUGGUUCUGAAUGGAAGGGCCAUCGCUCAACGGAUAAAAGGUACUCCGGGGAUAACAGGCUGAUACCGCCCAAGAGUUCAUAUCGACGGCGGUGUUUGGCACCUCGAUGUCGGCUCAUCACAUCCUGGGGCUGAAGUAGGUCCCAAGGGUAUGGCUGUUCGCCAUUUAAAGUGGUACGCGAGCUGGGUUUAGAACGUCGUGAGACAGUUCGGUCCCUAUCUGCCGUGGGCGCUGGAGAACUGAGGGGGGCUGCUCCUAGUACGAGAGGACCGGAGUGGACGCAUCACUGGUGUUCGGGUUGUCAUGCCAAUGGCACUGCCCGGUAGCUAAAUGCGGAAGAGAUAAGUGCUGAAAGCAUCUAAGCACGAAACUUGCCCCGAGAUGAGUUCUCCCUGACUCCUUGAGAGUCCUGAAGGAACGUUGAAG
rnacentral:rRNA from 1 species